rnacentral:lncRNA from 1 species
ACGGGCCCUCGCAGUCCACGCGCGUCCAACCCGUCCACCAGCAGGGGGCGGCACCACACACACACACACACACACUGCAGUAAACCCGUCCACCAGCAGGGGGGUGGCACCACACACACACACACUGCAGUAAACCCGUCCACAAGCUGGGGGCGGCACCCCACACACACUGCAGUAAACCCGUCCACCAGCAGAGGGCGGCACCACACACACACACACACUGCAGUAAACCCGUCCACCAGCAGAGGGCGGCACCACACACACAAUGCAGUAAACCCGUCCACCAGCAGGGGGCGGCACCACAUACACACUGCAGUAAACCCGUCCACCAGCAGGGGGCGGCACCACAUACACACUGCAGUAAACCUGUCCACCAGCAGAGGGCGGCACCAUACACACACACACACUGCAGUAAACCCGUCCACCAGCAGGGGGCGGCAUCACACACACAGCAGUAAACCCGGCCACCAGCAGGGGGCGGUACCACACACACACACAUUGCAGUAAACCCGUCCACCAGCAGAGGGCGGCACCACACACACACUGCAGUAAACCCAUCCACCAGCAGAGGGCGGCACCACACACACUACAGUAAACCCGUCCACCAGCAGGGGGCGGCACCACACACACACACAUUGCAGUGUACCCGUCCACCAGCACAGGGCGGCACCACACACACACUGCAGUAAACCCGUCCACCAGCAGAGGGCGGCACCACACACACACACUGCAGUAAAGCCGUCCACCAGCAGGGGGCGGCAUCACACACACAGCAGUAAACCCGGCCACCAGCAGGGGGCGGUACCACACACACACACAUUGCAGUAAACCCGUCCACCAGCAGAGGGCGGCACCACACACACACUGCAGUAAACCCGUCCACCAGCAGGGGGCGGCACCACACACACACACAUUGCAGUAUACCCGUCCACCAGCACAGGGCGGCACCACACACAGACUGCAGUAAACCCGUCCACCAGCAGAGGGCGGCACCACACACACACACUGCAGUAAAGCCGUCAACCAGCAGGGGGCGGCAUCACACACACAGCAGUAAACUCGGCCACCAGCAGGGGGCGGUACCACACACACACACAUUGCAGUAAACCCGUCCACCAGCAGAGGGCGGCACCACACACACACUGCAGUAAACCCGUCCACCAGCAGAGGGCAGCACCACACACACACACACACUGCAGUAAACCCGUCCAGCAGCAGAGGACAGUACCACACACAAACACUGCAGUAAACCCGUCCACCAGCACAGGGCGGCACCACACACACACUGCAGUAAACCCGUCCACCAGCAGAGGGUGGCACCACACACACACACUGCAGUAAAGCCGUCCACCAGCAGAGGGCGGCAUCACACACACAGCAGUAAACUCGGCCACCAGCAGGGGGCGGUACCACACAUACAGACAUUGCAGUAAACCCGUCCACCAGCAGAGGGCGGCACCACACACACACUGCAGUAAACCCGUCCACCAGCAGAGGGCAGCACCACACACACACACACACACACACUGCAGUAAACCCGUCCAGCAGCAGAGGACGGUACCACACACACACACUGCAGUAAACCCGUCCACUAGCAGGGGGCGGCACCACACACACAGCAGUAAACCCGUCCACCAGCAGGGGGCGGCACCACACACACACACAUUGCAGUAAACCCGUCCAUCAGCAGAGGGCGGCACCACACACACACAGCAGUAAACCCGGCCACCAGCAGGGGGCGGUACCACACACACACACAUUGCAGUAAACCCGUCCACCAGCAGAGGGCGGCACCACACACACACUGCAGUAAACCCAUCCACCAGCAGAGGGCGGCACCACACACACUACAGUAAACCCGUCCACCAGCAGGGGGCGGCACCACACACACACACAUUGCAGUGUACCCGUCCACCAGCAGAGGGCGGCACCACACACACACACUGCAGUAAAGCCGUCAACCAGCAGGGGGCGGCAUCACACACACAGCAGUAAACUCGGCCACCAGCAGGGGGCGGUACCACACACACACACAUUGCAGUAAACCCGUCCACCAGCAGAGGGCGGCACCACACACACACUGCAGUAAAACCGUCCACCAGCAGAGGGCAGCACCACACACACACACACACUGCAGUAAACCCGUCCAGCAGCAGAGGACGGUACCACACACAAACACUGCAGUAAACCCGUCCACCAGCACAGGGCGGCACCACACACACACACACACACUGCAGUAAACCCGUCCACCAGCAGGGGGCGGCACCACACACACACACUGCAGUAAAGCCGUCCACCAGCGGGGGGCGGCACCACAUACACACUGCAGUAAACCUGUCCACCAGCAGAGGGCGGCACCGCACACACACACACACACACACACACACUGCAGUAAACCCGUCCAGCAGCAGGGGGCGGCACCACACACACCCACUGCAGUAAACCCGUCCACCAGCAGAGGACGGCACCACACACACACACUGCAGUAAACCCGUCCACUAGCAGGGGGCGGCACCAGCAGGGGGGCGGCACCACACACACAGGGCGCCACACACACACACACAUUGGCACCACACACACACACACAUCGCAGUAAACCCGUCCACCAAUAGGGGGUGGCACCACACACACACACACACACACACAGCAGUAAACCCGUCCACCAGCAGAGGACGGCACCACACACACACACUGCAGUAAGCCCGUCCACUAGCAGGGGGCGGCACCACACACACACACACACUGCAGUAAACCUGUCCACCAGCAGAGGACGGCACCACACACACACACUGCAGUAAGCCCGUCCACUAGCAGGGGGCGGCACCACACACACACACACACUGCAGUAAACCCGUCCACCAGCAGGGGGCGGCACCACACACACACACUGCUGUAAACCCGUCCACCAGCAGGGGGCGGCACCACAUACACACUGCAGUAAACCCAUCCACCAGCAGGGGGCGGCACCACCCACACACACAC